rnacentral:rRNA from 1 species
UACGAAGGGGACUAGCGUUGUUCGGAUUUACUGGGCGUAAAGCGCGCGUAGGCGGAUAUCUAAGUCAGAGGUGAAAUCCCAGGGCUCAACCCUGGAACUGCCUUUGAUACUGGGUGUCUGGAGAUCGGGAGAGGUGAGUGGAAUUCCGAGUGUAGAGGUGAAAUUCGUAGAUAUUCGGAGGAACACCAGAAGCGAAGGCGGCUCACUGGCCCGAUACUGACGCUGAGGCGCGAAAGCGUGGGGAGCAAACAGG